AUUGAACGCUGGCGGCAGGCCUAACACAUGCAAGUCGAACGGUAGCACAGAGAGCUUGCUCUCGGGUGGCGAGUGGCGGACGGGUGAGUAACGUCUGGGAAACUGCCCGAUGGAGGGGGAUAACUACUGGAAACGGUAGCUAAUACCGCAUAACGUCGCAAGACCAAAGUGGGGGACCUUCGGGCCUCACACCAUCGGAUGCGCCCAGAUGGGAUUAGCUAGUAGGUGGGGUAAUGGCUCACCUAGGCGACGAUCCCUAGCUGGUCUGAGAGGAUGACCAGCCACACUGGAACUGAGACACGGUCCAGACUCCUACGGGAGGCAGCAGUGGGGAAUAUUGCACAAUGGGCGCAAGCCUGAUGCAGCCAUGCCGCGUGUAUGAAGAAGGCCUUCGGGUUGUAAAGUACUUUCAGCGGGGAGGAAGGCGGUGAAGUUAAUAGCUUCACCGAUUGACGUUACCCGCAGAAGAAGCACCGGCUAACUCCGUGCCAGCCGCCGCGGUAA
rnacentral:rRNA from 1 species